rnacentral:rRNA from 1 species
GAUGAACGCUGGCGGCGUGCCUAAUACAUGCAAGUCGAGCGAACGGACGAGAAGCUUGCUUCUCUGAUGUUAGCGGCGGACGGGUGAGUAACACGUGGAUAACCUACCUAUAAGACUGGGAUAACUUCGGGAAACCGGAGCUAAUACCGGAUGAUAUUUUGAACCGCAUGGUUCAAAAGUGAAAGACGGUCUUGCUGUCACUUAUAGAUGGAUCCGCGCUGCAUUAGCUAGUUGGUAAGGUAACGGCUUACCAAGGCAACGAUGCAUAGCCGACCUGAGAGGGUGAGCGGCCACGCUGGAGCUGAGACACGGGCCAGACUCCUACGGGAGGCAGCAGUAGGGAAUCUUCCGCAAUGGGCGAAAGCCUGACGGAGCAACGCCGCGUGAGUGAUGAAGGUCUUCGGAUCGUAAAACUCUGUUAUUAGGGAAGAACAUAUGUGUAAGUAACUGUGCACAUCUUGACGGUACCUAAUCAGAAAGCCACGGCUAACUACGUG